rnacentral:rRNA from 1 species
UAAGUACCCUGAGGAAAAGAAAUCAACCGAGAUUCCCUUAGUAGUGGCGAGCGAACGGGGACUAGCCCUUAAGUGGCUUUGAGAUUAGCGGAACGCUCUGGAAAGUGCGGCCAUAGUGGGUGAUAGCCCUGUACGCGAAAAUCUCUUAGUCAUGAAAUCGAGUAGGACGGAGCACGAGAAACUUUGUCUGAAUAUGGGGGGACCAUCCUCCAAGGCUAAAUACUACUGACUGACCGAUAGUGAACUAGUACCGUGAGGGAAAGGCGAAAAGAACCCCGGAGAGGGGAGUGAAAUAGAUCCUGAAACCGUAUGCGUACAAGCAGUGGGAGCCUACUUUGUUAGGUGACUGCGUACCUUUUGUAUAAUGGGUCAGCGACUUAUUUUCAGUGGCGAGCUUAACCGAAUAGGGGAGGCGUAGCGAAAGCGAGUCUUAAUAGGGCGUCUAGUCGCUGGGAAUAGACCCGAAACCGGGCGAUCUAUCCAUGGGCAGGUUGAAGGUUGGGUAACACUAACUGGAGGACCGAACCGACUACCGUUGAAAAGUUAGCGGAUGACCUGUGGAUCGGAGUGAAAGGCUAAUCAAGCUCGGAGAUAGCUGGUUCUCCUCGAAAGCUAUUUAGGUAGCGCCUCAUGUAUCACUGUAGGGGGUAGAGCACUGUUUCGGCUAGGGGGUCAUCCCGACUUACCAAACCGAUGCAAACUCCGAAUACCUACAAGUGCCGAGCAUGGGAGACACACGGCGGGUGCUAACGUCCGUCGUGAAAAGGGAAACAACCCAGACCGUCAGCUAAGGUCCCAAAGUUAUGGUUAAGUGGGAAACGAUGUGGGAAGGCUUAGACAGCUAGGAGGUUGGCUUAGAAGCAGCCACCCUUUAAAGAAAGCGUAAUAGCUCACUAGUCGAGUCGGCCUGCGCGGAAGAUGUAACGGGGCUCAAACCAUACACCGAAGCUACGGGUAUCACGUAAGUGAUGCGGUAGAGGAGCGUUCUGUAAGCCUGUGAAGGUGAGUUGAGAAGCUUGCUGGAGGUAUCAGAAGUGCGAAUGCUGACAUGAGUAACGACAAUGGGUGUGAAAAACACCCACGCCGAAAGACCAAGGUUUCCUGCGCAACGUUAAUCGACGCAGGGUUAGUCGGUCCCUAAGGCGAGGCUGAAAAGCGUAGUCGAUGGAAAACAGGUUAAU